UGGCUGAAUGACAAGGCCCUGGGC
rnacentral:piRNA from 1 species